CGGCCCCGGGCCGCUGAGUGUGACGGACGGGGCCGGGGGCCGCCGGGCGCCGCGGCGUCGGCGGCUCCGCGCGGACCAUGUAUUUCCUGAGCGGCUGGCCCAAGAGGCUGCUCUGCCCUCUGGGGAGCCCGGCCGAGGCGCCUUUCCACGUUCAGUCCGACCCCCAGAGGACUUUCUUCGCCGUGCUGGCCCCGGCCCGCCUCAGCAUCUGGUACAGCCGACCUAGUGUAUUAAUCGUAACCUACAAGGAACCUGCAAAAUCAUGUUCUCAGUUUGGAUCCUACAAGCAAGCUGAAUGGAGGCCAGAUAGUACCAUGAUAGCUGUGUCAACGGCAAAUGGCUACAUCUUGUUUUUUCAUAUAACAUCUACAAGAGGGGACAAGUACCUUUAUGAACCAGUGUAUCCCAAAGGAAGUCCACAAGUGAAGGGGACACCCCAUUUUAAGGAAGAACAGUGUGCUCCAGCAUUAAAUUUAGAGAUGAGGAAAAUAUUGGAUUUGCAAGCACCCAUCAUGAGUUUGCAGUCUGUGCUGGAAGAUCUCCUGGUUGCUACUUCUGAUGGACUUCUUCAUCUUAUUCACUGGGAAGGAAUGACAAAUGGGAGGAAAGCUAUUAAUCUUUGUACAGUACCCUUUUCAGUAGACCUCCAGUCAUCUAGAGCAGGUUCAUUCCUGGGCUUUGCAGAUGUGCACAUUAGAGACAUGGAAUACUGUGCCACACUUGAUGGGUUUGCUGUUGUGUUUAAUGAUGGUAAAGUUGGAUUUAUCACACCAGUGUCAAGUAGAUUUACUGCAGAGCAGCUUCAUGGAGUUUGGCCACAAGAUGUUGUUGAUGGAACUUGUGUAGCAGUAAAUAACAAGUAUCGACUGAUGGCGUUUGGUUGUGCGAGUGGUUCUGUACAGGUUUAUACAAUAGAUAACACCACUGGAGCCAUGCUACUAUCUCAUAAACUAGAGUUAACAGCAAAACAAUAUCCUGACAUUUGGAACAAAACAGGAGCUGUUAAAUUGGUCAGAUGGUCUCCUGACAAUAGUGUUGUAAUAGUGACCUGGGAAUAUGGAGGCCUUUCUUUAUGGAGUGUAUUUGGAGCUCAGCUGAUUUGUACACUUGGAGGAGAUUUUGCUUAUAGGUCUGAUGGUACCAAAAAAGAUCCCCUUAAGAUCAACUCUAUGAGCUGGGGUGCUGAAGGCUAUCACCUAUGGGUAAUCAGUGGAUUUGGUUCUCAAAAUACUGAAAAUGAGUCUGACUGCAAGAGCGUAGUUAAACAGCCUAGCAUUCUACUAUUUCAGUUUCUCAAGAGUGCACUCACCGUAAACCCUUGUAUGAGUAACCAAGAGCAAGUGUUGCUUCAGGGGGAAGAUCGAUUGUACUUGAACUGUGGAGAGGCCUCACAAACCCAGAAUCCCAGGGGUACUUCGGCACACUCUGAUCAUAAGCCCAGUCAGGAAAAGGGCCCGUUUGCAGAUGGCAGUUUAGAGUCUCAGAGUUUAAGCACUUUACUUGGUCAUCGGCAUUGGCAUGUAGUACAGAUUUCCAGCACCUAUCUAGAGAGCAAUUGGCCUAUACGGUUUUCAGCUAUUGAUAAGCUCGGACAGAAUAUUGCUGUGGUUGGCAAGUUUGGUUUUGCACAUUACUCUUUACUCACCAAAAAAUGGAAGCUUUUUGGAAACAUUACCCAGGAGCAAAAUAUGAUUGUGACAGGUGGCUUAGCCUGGUGGAAUGAUUUUAUUGUCCUUGCAUGCUAUAACAUAAGUGAUCAUCAAGAGGAGCUCAGAGUAUACUUGAGAACGUCAAAUCUGGACAAUGCUUUUGCUCAUGUCACCAAAACACAAGCAGAAACAUUACUGCUUAGUGUCUUCCGGGACAUGGUAAUAGUAUUUAGAGCAGACUGUUCAAUAUGCCUUUACAGUAUUGAAAGGAAAUUUGAUGGUCCAAAUACUGCUGGUAUUCAAGUUCUUCAGGAAGUCUCCAUGUCACGCUACAUUCCUCACCCUUUCCUGGUAGUAUCUGUCACUCUGACAUCAGUGAGUACAGAGAAUGGAAUCACCUUGAAAAUGCCACAGCAGGCUCGUGAUGCAGAGAGCAUUAUGCUGAAUCUUGCAGGACAGCUCAUCAUGAUGCAGAGGGACAGAUCAGGCCCUCAGAUCCGUGAGAAGGACAGUAACCCUAACCAAAGGAAACUUCUGCCAUUCUGUCCUCCUGUUGUACUAGCCCAGUCUGUUGAAAAUGUCUGGACCACGUGUCGAGCAAAUAAACAAAAGCGUCACCUUUUGGAGGCCCUCUGGCUGAGCUGUGGAGGUUCAGGGAUGAAAGUUUGGCUCCCUCUCUUCCCUAGGGAUCACCGUAAGCCCCAUUCCUUCUUGUCCCAGCGGAUCAUGCUGCCUUUCCACAUAAAUAUCUACCCCCUGGCUGUUCUGUUUGAAGAUGCAUUAGUCCUUGGUGCUGUCAAUGACACUGUACUCUAUGAUUCUUUGUAUACUCGGAACAGUGCUAGGGAACAGCUGGAGGUGCUCUUCCCUUUCUGUGUUGUGGAGAGAACCUCUCAGAUCUACCUCCACCACAUUCUACGUCAGCUGCUGGUGAGGAACCUUGGGGAACAAGCCUUGCUUUUAGCCCAGUCCUGUGCCGCGUUACCUUACUUUCCUCACGUGCUGGAGCUCAUGCUCCAUGAAGUGCUGGAAGAAGAAGCUACCUCACGGGAGCCCAUUCCCGACCCUCUGCUUCCCACUGUGGCAAAAUUUAUCACCGAGUUCCCACUCUUCCUGCAGACAGUUGUUCAUUGUGCCAGGAAGACUGAAUAUGCCCUGUGGAAUUACCUUUUUGCAGCCGUUGGAAACCCGAAGGACUUGUUUGAGGAAUGUUUGAUGGCUCAGGAUUUGGAUACUGCUGCCUCGUACCUUAUUAUUUUACAGAACAUGGAAGUCCCAGCAGUAAGUAGGCAACAUGCCACCCUUCUGUUCAACACAGCCCUGGAACAAAGCAAGUGGGACCUGUGUCGACACAUGAUUCGAUUUCUUAAAGCCAUUGGCUCUGGAGAAUCUGAGACGCCUCCAUCCACACCUACAGCUCAGGAACCCAGUUCAAGUGGUGGAUUUGAGUUCUUCAGGAAUCGAAGCAUCAGUUUAUCCCAGUCAGCUGAAAAUGUUCCUGCUAGUAAAUUCAGCUUACAGAAAACACUAAGUAUGCCGUCUGGCCCUUCUGGAAAAAGAUGGAGCAAAGACAGUGACUGUGCUGAGAACGUGUAUAUUGAUAUGAUGCUCUGGAGACAUGCCCGGCAUCUCUUAGAAGAAGUUCGGCUAAAGGAUCUCGGCUGCUUUGCAGCCCAGCUGGGCUUUGAACUAAUUAGUUGGCUAUACAAGGAACGUACCCGAGCUGCCCGAGUAGACAACUUUGUGUUAGCCCUGAAGAGACUCCACAAAGAUUUCCUGUGGCCACUUCCCAUCAUCCCAGCUUCUUCUCUCAGUUCUCCUUUCAAAAAUGGAAAAUACCGAACAGUGGGAGAGCAGCUGUUAACGUCCCAGUCAGCCGACCCUUUUUUGAACCUUGAGAUAGACGCUGGCAUCUCUAAUGUCCAACGAAGUCAGAGCUGGCUCGGCAACAUCGGCCCCACGCAUCAUGAAAUAGACACAGCCUCAUCGCAUGGACCACAGAUGCAAGACGCCUUCCUUUCACCUUUAUCUAAUAAAGGUGAUGAAUGCAGUAUUGGUUCAGCCACAGACUUGACUGAAAGUAGCUCCAUGGUGGAUGGAGACUGGACAAUGGUCGAUGAAAAUUUCUCCACACUCAGUUUAACUCAGUCAGACCUAGAGCACAUCUCCAUGGAGUUGGCAAGUAAAGGGCCUCACAAAUCCCAGGUUCAGCUUCGGUAUUUGCUACACAUCUUCAUGGAGGCAGGAUGUCUGGACUGGUGUGUUGUUAUAGGCCUGAUUCUCAGAGAAUCCUCAAUAAUCAACCAGAUUUUGGUUAUUAUACAAUCUUCAGAGGUAGAUGGAGAGAUGUUACAGAACAUAAAGACAGGGCUGCAUGCUGUGGACAGAUGGGCCUCUACAGAUUGUCCUGGAUAUAAGCCAUUUUUAAACAUCAUUAAGCCACAACUGCAAAAGCUCAGUGAGAUAACAGAAGAGCAGGUCCAGCCUGAAGCCUUCCAGCCAAUAACUGUGGGUAAGACUCCUGAACAGACUAACCCCCGGGCAGAGGAGAACAGGAGCUCCUCCGGCCACGGGAGCAUCCCCCAGGGCGAGGUCGGAGGUAGCAGUUUGGUCAGCCGGAAGGAGGAGGACACAACCCGAGCAGAGGAGGAGGAACCUUUUCAGGAUGGGACUUACGACUGUUCUGUGUCCUAACAACAAUGGGUGCCGUCACCAUGGGCAGUAUUAAUUAGCGGCAGCAUGCAGCUGAGGACACUGUGACCUAGUUGGAUGAUUUAACCAGGGAGAGAACUCAGCUCAGAGACUCUGGUAAGGUAUUACUAAAUUUUAACUAACUCUUUCUCCUCUAAGAAAUCUCUUUGAGUCCAUAAAAAUGUGAUAUCAAAAAAAUCAUCUUUCAUAAAUUUUUUAAGCUGCAGUGGAAGUAAUAAAGAAUAUUGUACAGAUGUACAUGAAAAUAUUUUGGUUUUAUUCUUAAAGGUUGGUAGCUCUUAAACCACAGGGAUUGUUUUGCCCCAGAUGAGCAAAACACUUUUCACUACUUACAGCUUCCUAUGUUUUCUGGUUCAGCGUGUGUUCAGACUGCUUUUUAAAAACCAAUGCUAAGGUGCUUGCUAUAGCUCAUCAAGUACUUGAGCUACCUGUAUGCCCCCUUGGAUCAAGAGCACUGGCCUCCCUAACUGGGCCUCUGAAUAGAUGCCUGCCCUAGCAUAAGAGGUGCCUGUAUGAAGGAGAUAUGCUCCUCUUCUAGCCUGUUAAAUCCCGGUCCUGAAUUGAUGGAAGCUAUUUACCUGUGAGUCAGUAUGCCUGCUUUUUAGCAAGCUUGGUUCCUGCUAGGUCAGCGUGCGCUGAGGUCUGAGGAGUUCUUAUCAAUUAUGCUAUUAGAUACCACUAAACUAUUUUAUAUCAAAGAAUUGUUAUCUUUUUGUGAGUACUCUUGUGUAAGUAUACUCAAAGGCACUGUUCAUAUUUUUAGGGCUUGUACUAUAAUUUGUAAGGUUUUAUGCUGGAUUCUGCAUGGCUAUAGAUACUCACUCUUGGAACAAAGACAGGGCUUGCUCUUCUUUCCAAAUACAAGCAGUCUUCAUAGAGGAAGACAGGUUUAUUGGCUUGGUCAUUAAGGUAACAGAAAUGGUCACACUGAUCAUGAAAUGAAACAGGUUUUGUGCAAAUUAAUGUAGUUUCUUAUUUAUUGCUUUUGUAAAUUGAAUAAAAAUGGACUUUUAUGUAAAUAGACUGCUGAAUCCUGUAUUAUCACGGCUACUAAAAAUUAGUAUGUAAAGAAUGCAUUCUUCAUUGUAACUUUUUAAAUAUUUUAUGUAUUUCUAGAAAUGACAAACUUUAGUUUUCAUACAUUAUGAAAACAUGACUGCAUACUCAAUUGCUUUAGACUGAACACAUACCCACUGUAUGUACAUCAAUUACCUUAUAACAGUAUUAAUUUAGAUAGCUUGUUUGUACUGUGCAAUUUGAACAAAGGAAUGCAAUGUUAUUUUUUACAAAAAUGAACUUAUUUUUAUAAUAACAAUGUAUUUGAUGUGGACCAAAUUCAUACCACUAUGUAAAACAGCCUCUCUUCUCAUAGUGCAAUUACAGUUUAGAAAUAAAACUUGGUCCUCUAUCCUUGCUUUUUAAAGUAAGUGGCUAGCUUUAGUUGUCCUAGCCAGGUUUCCUUUCAAGGGAAACCCAAAACCAUUUUGAAAAUGCUUUGUUCAUAAUUCAUCAAACGGUUUUAAAUUAUUGAGUUUGGUAAUUUACUAUCACUUACUUUUCACAUUACAAGUGCAAUAAUUUCCCAUACAAAAACUCCUGAAUGGGUGGAAUAUGUGAUUACUGGUACCUGGUCCUUCUGGUGCUAUGUUUAUUCAAGCCUUUGUUUUAAACCACCUUUCCCUGAAUUUUAAGAUAGAAAAUGUUUCCCAUGUGAGUACAUGCAGCCCAGCAAGAAACUAAACUGAAGAAUUUCUUCUCCUGUCCUAGUCCAUUAGGAGAAGAACUAGCAUUACUUCUGUGUUUGGUGUGAGUAUUUAGUCAAUAAACAUGACUUACCAUUGUAAACAGCUAUGAUCUUUUUCAGGUAUCCUAAUGUGCUGCUGGGUUCAUCUUGCACUCUAAAAGCAGGGCACCAAAAGCUAGCAGAAUUUACCACUGCUGGAGCCAGGAAGCCAACAGCCAUCUUCCUCAACAUGAAAAGUACCUCUAAGUCCUAGAGCUGCCAUCAUGCAGGAUCUGAACACCAACAACUAUAAGGACAUUCCAGUACAAGCCACAGCCUCAAGUCUCAGGAAAUCCAGCUCUGCUGAACACAGUAAGUUAGUGAGAAACUAACCUAUUCAACUGGCUGGAAAACAGACAAAAAUAAGGACCCAGUGCAUCAAUAAAAUUAUGCCCUAAAGGCUUAACCUUGGAUAACAGAAGACUCCUGAGAAGUGAGAAUAAAUAUAAAAUGCCCAGCCACUCCCAACCCCACUCUCCUCCCACCCCAGAAUAGCCACCAUGGCAACCAGUGCUCUGAAGAAGGAAGUUAACGUCAUAUACUUGCACAAACAAUAUUCUAAACCAAAAGAGCCUGUGAAACUCAGAGGGAAAGGUAACUAGACAAAUGCUCUUCUCACAAUGGUGAGGAGGUGUGGAGAGGAAGAAAAGGUAUGUUUCAGAGGGAAACAGGCAUUGAAAACCACCUCAGAAAAGCAUUACAAUGAUGGAGCUCAGUGACCACUUGUCAGAAGGACAUGAGUCACCAACUCACACAGGUUUCCACAUCAGAGGACGGACCGGGGCUUCAGAGGUGUAAAGCACACUAAAGGCUGCAUGCAGAAGCAGAGCUCUCGGCACAGGCUGGGGUCUCAAAAGCCCGAUGGUUCCUCCCCAGUCUUUACCGCAGUUGCUUUCUAAUGACCUACAGUUAGGCCUCAAGGGGAAUCAUUACUCCUGUGAAUGAUAUUUAACCUACCAUCCAAUGACACACAAAAAAUGGUCUUGGGCUUUAACUGAAAAUGUCAUUUGUCUCGUUAACAGUGGAUUUACAAUACCUUCUGCAUCUCUCAUGGUCCUAAGGGGACAACUAUUAAAGUGGUUUGUUGGCUUUCGUCCUUAAGGUCAUAUAAAAUGACAUGUAGGUAGUGGCAGUACCCACAUGUACUUAAGUGCCAGAAAACUGGUAUUUUCAAGUGUCAGAAGGGCCAUGCACACUACCCCACAGCAUAACCAUUACAGACAGUGCUGGGCCCUGAAGAGUGUUAGCCCUUCAAGCUCUUUGAACAUGUGCUCAUUAAUUCAUUGACUUACAUACAAACAUCCAUGAAACACAAGGAGAAACCGUGCCACGUGGAGUAU